UGCAAUUACGGAAAGAACCCGUAUGCGUGCAAUAAUUAUCCAAGAUGGGAAUAAAUUUUCCCAAGGCCAAAAUGGGGAUUUAGUUUACGCCGAUCGCUCCACGUCAACAACCGACGGGCAAAUCCACCGACUACCUGAAAACCAAAGCCAUAUCCUCUACCUUCACCCUCACCCUCACUCAUCGAAUCUCUCAUUUCCUCUCUUUACGCAUCUAAACAAAACCUGUAUAUUAUGUAUUCAGCUGCGAAUUUCAUUUCUAACGUCACUUAGAUUCAGAUGAGAGGGCGUGAUCGGAUCAAUCAAAUCCAAAUCCUGCCGGAUGAAAUAAUUAUAGAGAUUUUCCGGCAGCUGGAAUCGAAAUCAAGCCGCGACGCAUGUGCACUCGUCUGCAAACGUUGGCUUCGUCUCGAGCGCCUUAGUCGUCUCACUUUACGAAUUGGUGCUUCCGGCUGCCCCGACGCCCUUGUCAGGCUGCUCGCUCGCCGCUUCGUCAAUGUACGCAAUGUAUUUAUCGACGAGAGACUGUCCAUUUCUCUCCCGGUUCAACUUGGAAGAAGACGUGGCACUGAUCAUUCUGUGGCUUCAUCUCUCAGCAUCCACUCCCUGGCUGAAACAAAUGGCUCGGAAGACAAUGAAACUGAAUCUUACUGUUUGUCAGAUGCUGGGUUGGCUGCUGUUGCUGCUGGCUUUACUAAGCUUGAAAAUCUGAGCUUAAUAUGGUGCUCUAAUGUGACACAUGUGGGGCUGAGGUCUAUAGCUGAGAGGUGUAUAUCCUUGAAGUCUUUGGAUUUACAGGGCUGUUAUGUUGGUGAUCAAGGUUUAGCAGCUGUUGGGGAGUUCUCCAGGCAACUUGAAGAUUUGAAUUUGCGAUUCUGUGAAGGCCUAACUGAUGCAGGCUUGAUUAAAUUGGUUGCUGGUUGUGGUAAUACAUUGAAAUCGAUCAGUCUGGCUGCCUGUGCAAAAGUAACUGACACCUCCUUGGAAACUGUCGGAUCUCAUUGUAAAUCUUUGGAGUCCUUGUCACUAGACUCAGAGUUUAUCCAUGACAAAGGUGUACUUGCUGUUGCCCAAGGAUGCCGUCAGUUGAAGUUUCUGAAGCUACAAUGCAUCAAUGUUACAGAUGAUGCUCUGCAAGGCGUUGGCACUUGCUGUUUAUCAUUGGAGUUGUUGGCUCUUUACAGUUUCCAAAUAUUUACGGACAAGAGUCUGUGUGCUAUUGGUAAAGGAUGCAAACAGUUAAAGUCUCUUACCUUGAAUGAUUGUACUUUCUUAAGUGACAAAGGCUUAGAGGCGGUUGCAGUUGGUUGCUCCAGGCUCACGCAUCUUGAAGUUAAUGGCUGCCACAAUAUAGGAACAUAUGGACUAGAGUCUAUUGCAAGAUCUUGCACGCAUCUCUCUGAGUUGGCUCUGCUGUACUGUCAAAGAAUUGGUAAUUUCGCAUUGUCCGAGAUCGGAAGAGGGUGCAAGUUCUUGCAAGCUUUGCAUUUGGUAGAUUGUGCGAGCAUUGGGGACGAAGCCAUAUGUUCUAUAGCUAGAGGAUGCUGUAACCUCAAAAGGCUCCACAUCCGUCGAUGCUAUGAGGUUGGAAAUAAGGGAAUUAUAGCUGUUGGUGAGAACUGUAAAUUUCUUACAGACCUUAGCCUUCGGUUCUGUGAUAGAGUAGGGGAUGAAGCACUUGUGGCUAUUGCUGAAGGUUGCUCUCUGCAUCAUUUGAAUGUAAGUGGCUGCCACCAAAUUGGGGAUGCUGGAAUAAUAGCCAUAGCAAGAGGAUGCCCUGAACUUAGUUACUUGGAUGUGAGUGUUCUCCAGGAUUUGGGGGAUAUGGCCAUGGUGGAGCUAGGUGAAGGAUGUCCUUUGUUGAGGGAUAUUGUGCUGUCCCACUGUCGUCGAAUAACAGAUGUAGGUUUAAGUCAUCUUGUUAACAAGUGUACCUUGCUGGAAACUUGUCACAUGGUCUAUUGCCCCGGUAUUACUGCUGCUGGAGUAGCCACAGUGAUCACAAGCUGCUCAAAUAUGAAGAAAGUUCUUGUUGAGAAAUGGAAAGUGAGCCCAAGGACCAAAAGGAGAGCAGGAUCCAUUAUUUCCUAUCUCUGUGUUGAUCUGUAGAUCUCUUUACACUUGUUACUACUCUACUUCUUGCAGCCCCAAUCAACAGCAGCAGGGUUAAAGCAGACUAUCCCUGUGAAUAGCCAGUUUAAGGUAUGGGGUGGGAGUGCUGCUUGUUCCCUUCAGAUGUGUAGGAUAAAAUGGUCAAGGCAGCCAUGCUUGUGCUAUGCUUUUUCAAGGGUAUGCUGCUGCCAAAGCCCAUUUUUGUCUUAUGGGUCUUUCUGGCAUUCGCAUAGAUUAAGUGCAGAGAUCUGAAUGCAUAAUGUAGAUGUUGCUUUGUAGUGGAAGAAGCUGAUACGGGAGCACAUUCUCAAACAACUCUUCCAUAUUUUGGCGGUAGAUGUUCUGGCUUGGGAUCAUCUUGAAAAGAUGUUCUGUUUGAAGCAGCUCUAGAAUUGGAUUUGGAGGAGAUUGGACCACUACGUGCAAAUCUUUUUUCGAUCGUGUGUAAUGUCAUGGGCGGCUUUCCAACCAUGCCCCAUGACCCCUUGGACGCGCCCCGUGGCGUCCUGGCCAGCUUCCCAACGUCCGUCGCCACGGUCGGCCUCGUGAUCUCGGCAGCUCCAAGUGACAAGCGCACAAGUGACUCUGUCGCCCUACCGAUAGCCAUUGCCAGCGCACAGCCACAGGCAGAUGCCAGCAGCGCCGCGCACGUAGACAAUGCCGCGUGCCCAGACCCUGAUGCUAAAGACAAAGUUGCUGCCAACGGACUUGUUUCUGCUUUGUAGAAGAUUAAGUCCUUUUCAUUGUAAAUAUAGA